rnacentral:lncRNA from 1 species
UUCCAUGGGCGUUUCACCUCGUGGCCGUUCGUGCGAACCAGCUUGUAAGCUCCGGGUCCCGCUAUCUGCUUGACUCUAUAUGGCCCUUCCCAAUUCGGUCCCAGCACUCCUUGAGUCGAAUCUUUGGUGCUCUGAUUCACUCUUCUCAGUACCCAGUCACCGACCCUGAAUUGCCGUAUGUUCACCUUCUGGUUGUAAUACCGAGCAACCCUCUGUUGGUAAAUGACUGAUCGCUCGGCUGCUUGCUCCCUUCUUUCCGUUAGCAGAUCAAGAUUCAAACAUAUCUGCUCGUCGUUCUCCUGCUC